rnacentral:rRNA from 2 species
UGGGGGAUAUUGCACAAUGGGCGAAAGCCUGAUGCAGCGACGCCGCGUGUGGGAAGACGGCCUUCGGGUUGUAAACCACUGUCUUUGGGGACGAUAAUGACGGUACCCAAGGAGGAAGCUCCGGCUAACUACGUGCCAGCAGCCGCGGUAAUACGUAGGGAGCAAGCGUUGUCCGGAAUUACUGGGUGUAAAGGGAGCGUAGGCGGGAAUGCAAGUUGAAUGUUUAAUCUAUGGGCUCAACCCAUAUCAGCGUUCAAAACUGCAUUUCUUGAGUGAAGUAGAGGUUGGCGGAAUUCCUAGUGUAGCGGUGAAAUGCGUAGAUAUUAGGAGGAACACCAGUGGCGAAGGCGGCCAACUGGGCUUUUACUGACGCUGAGGCUCGAAAGCGUGGGGAGCAAACAGG